UACGAAGGGUGCAAGCGUUACUCGGAAUCACUGGGCGUAAAGCGCUCGCAGGUGGUCCGUCGCGUCGUGCGUGAAAGACCCCGGCUCAACUGGGGAGGGUCGUGCGAUACGGGCGGACUGGAGGCCAGUAGGGGGAUGCGGAAUUCCGGGUGUAGUGGUGGAAUGCGUAGAGAUCCGGAGGAACACCAGCGGCGAAGGCGGCAUCCUGGACUGGUCCUGACACUCAGGAGCGAAAGCGUGGGGAGCGAUCCGG
rnacentral:rRNA from 1 species